rnacentral:rRNA from 1 species
UACAGAGGUCUCAAGCGUUGUUCGGAUUCAUUGGGCGUAAAGGGUGCGUAGGUGGCGCGGUAAGUCGGGUGUGAAAUCUCGGAGCUUAACUCCGAAAUUGCAUUCGAUACUGCCGUGCUUGAGGACUGGAGAGGAGACUGGAAUUCAUGGUGUAGCAGUGAAAUGCGUAGAGAUCAUGAGGAAGACCGGUGGCGAAGGCGGGUCUCUGGACAGUUCCUGACACUGAGGCACGAAGGCCAGGGGAGCAAACGGG